AACGCUAGCUACAGGCUUAACACAUGCAAGUCGCGGGGUAACAUCUGGGAGAGCUUGCUCUUCCGGGAUGACGACCGGCGCACGGGUGAGUAACGCGUAUCCAACCUGGCCCAUACCACGGGAUAGCCCGUCGAAAGGCGGAUUAAUACCGUAUGCUGUCAUUAAGAUGCAUAUAUUGAUGACGAAAGGACUGGCGGUAUGGGAUGGGGAUGCGUCUGAUUAGCUUGUUGGCGGGGUAACGGCCCACCAAGGCGACGAUCAGUAGGGGUUCUGAGAGGAAGGUCCCCCACAUUGGAACUGAGACACGGUCCAAACUCCUACGGGAGGCAGCAGUGAGGAAUAUUGGUCAAUGGGCGUAAGCCUGAACCAGCCAAGUAGCGUGAGGGAAGACUGCCCUACGGGUUGUAAACCUCUUUUGUUUGGGAAUAAAGUGCGGGACGCGUCCCGCAUUGCAUGUACCAUUUGAAUAAGGACCGGCUAAUUCCGUGCCAGCAGCCGCGGUAAUACGGAAGGUCCGGGCGUUAUCCGGAUUUAUUGGGUUUAAAGGGAGCGCAGGCCGUGGGUUAAGCGUGUCGUGAAAUUCCGUCGCUCAACGGCGGACGUGCGGCGCGAACUGGUCCACUUGAGUACGCGGGACGUUGGCGGAAUUCGUGGUGUAGCGGUGAAAUGCUUAGAUAUCACGAAGAACUCCGAUUG
rnacentral:rRNA from 1 species